GCCUGGGUGGCUCAGUCGGUUGAGCGUCCGACUUCGGCUCAGGUCAUGAUCUCACCGUACGUGGGUUCGAGCCCCGCGUCGGGCU
rfam:Felis catus isolate Cinnamon breed Abyssinian chromosome A3, whole genome shotgun sequence.